rnacentral:rRNA from 1 species
UACGUAGGGAGCAAGCGUUGUUCGGAUUUACUGGGCGUAAAGGGCGCGUAGGCGGCAAUUUAAGUCAUCUGUGAAAUCUCCGGGCUUAACUCGGAACGGUCAGAUGAUACUACUUUGCUAGAGUGCAGAAGGGGCAAUCGGAAUUCUUGGUGUAGCGGUGAAAUGCGUAGAUAUCAAGAGGAACACCUGAGGUGAAGACGGGUUGCUGGGCCAGCACUGACGCUGAGGCGCGAAAGCCAGGGGAGCAAACGGG